rnacentral:rRNA from 1 species
AAACCGACACAGGUGGGCGAGGAGAGUAUCCUCAGGCGCUGGAGAGAACUCGGGUGAAGGAACUCGGCAAACUAGCACCGUAACUUCGGGAGAAGGUGCGCCCGUGGUACGUGAAGCCCCUCGCGGGUGGAGCGGACGCGGGCCGCAGUGACCAGGUGGCUGCGACUGCUUACUAAAAACACAGCACUCUGCCAACACGAAAGUGGACGUAUAGGGUGUGACGCCUGCCCGGUGCCGGAAGGUUAAUUGAUGGGGUCAGCCGCAAGGCAAAGCUCUUGAUCGAAGCCCCGGUAAACGGCGGCCGUAACAAUAACGGUCCUAAGGUAGCGAAAUUCCUUGUCGGGUAAGUUCCGACCUGCACGAAUGGCGUAACGAUAGCCACACUGUCUCCACCCGAGACUCCGUGAAAUUGAACUCGCUGUUAAGAUGCAGCGUACCCGCGGCAAGACGGAAAGACCCCGUGAACCUUUACUACAGCUUUGCACUGGAUUUUGAGCGUUCUUGUGUAGGAUAGGUGGGAGGCUUUGAAGCCGGAACGCCAGUUUCGGUGGAGCCAACCUUGAAAUACCACCCUGGAACGCUCGGGAUUCUAACCUCGGACCCUUAUCGGGUUCAGGGACCGUGCAUGGUGGGUAGUUUGACUGGGGCGGUCUCCUCCCAAAGCGUAACGGAGGAGCGCGAAGGUACCCUCAGCGCGGUCGGAAAUCGCGCAGUGCGUGCAAAGGCAAAAGGGUGCUUGACUGCGAGACGGACAGGUCGAGCAGGUGCGAAAGCAGGUCUUAGUGAUCCGGUGGUUCCUGAUGGAAGGGCCAUCGCUCAACGGAUAAAAGGUACUCCGGGGAUAACAGGCUGAUACCGCCCAAGAGUCCAUAUCGACGGCGGUGUUUGGCACCUCGAUGUCGGCUCAUCACAUCCUGGGGCUGUAGUCGGUCCCAAGGGUAUGGCUGUUCGCCAUUUAAAGUGGUACGCGAGCUGGGUUUAGAACGUCGUGAGACAGUUCGGUCCCUAUCUGCCGUGGGCGUUGGAGUGUUGCGGGGAGCUGUUCCUAGUACGAGAGGACCGGAAUGGACAGACCUCUGGUGUACCGGUUGUUCUGCCAAGAGCAUCGCCGGGUAGCUACGUCCGGACGGGAUAACCGCUGAAAGCAUCUAAGCGGGAAGCCCCCCCCAAGAUGAGCACUCCCGAGUCCUUGAGACUCCUAAAGGUCCGUGGAAGACCACCACGUGGAUAGGCGUGGCGGUGAACGCGCGGUAACGCGUGCAGCCGACCCGU